rnacentral:rRNA from 1 species
GUAGUCAUAUGCUUGUCUCAAAGAUUAAGCCAUGCAUGUCUAAGUAUAAGCACUCAUACUGUGAAACUGCGAAUGGCUCAUUAAAUCAGUUAUCGUUUAUUUGAUAGUACCUUUACCUGGAUAACCGUGGUAAUUCUAGAGCUAAUACAUGCUAAAAAUCCCGACUUCGGAAGGGAUGUAUAUAUUAGAUAAAAAACCAAUACCCUUCGGGGCUCCUUGGUGAUUCAUAAUAACUCAACGAAUCGCAUGGCCUUACGCCGGCGAUGGUUCAUUCAAAUUUCUGCCCUAUCAACUUUCGAUGGUAGGAUAGUGGCCUACCAUGGUCUCAACGGGUAACGGGGAAUG